UUUCCCUCCUGUGUAAAGGCUGGCACGGUGCAGUCCGUGUGUUGGAGUCCAAAACUCGAUGUGGAGAUCACAAAAGCUCCUGGAAGACUGAGCAGAGGGCUCCAGUCAUGGCACCUGUAGAAUUUCAGCCAGAACCAAUUCAGAGGACACAACCCACAAGAUUAGGCCAGUCAAGUCUCCUUUUUGCCUGGACUUUAAUCUGA
rnacentral:lncRNA from 1 species